GUCUACGGCCAUACCACCCUGAACGUGCCCGAUCUCAUCUGAUCUCGGAAGCUAAGCAGGGUCGGGCCUGGUUAGUACUUGGAUGGGAGAAAUCUCUUAUCCACAGCAA
rnacentral:rRNA from 1 species